rnacentral:lncRNA from 1 species
CCUGGCUCGUAAAGCACGAAAAAACUAGAUCGAUGAAUGAGGAAUUAAGCGAAGAAAUCGCAUCUGUUAUAUAAAAAGGAUAAGGCAAAGAUAAUCAAAACAAAGUGUUUACCCAAAGAUUCACGCUACAAGAUAGAUAAUACUGUUAAUAAAAAAAAUUAGAGAACAUGAAGCUUGAUAAUACCAAAAAUUCCCCAAAUGAGCAUUAGGGUUACCUUGAGAAUUGACUGAAUUUUGUUUGCUUGGCUGGUGCUUUUUAUGCUACGAUGCCAGUGACGUACGGUUUCAAAACGAACAGACAAUGGUUUAAUUAGGAUAAUUUGAAACAGAGUGAAAAAGAUAGACGGUAUUGGGGGCCAAAGCAAAACUGAAGAUGUUGAUAGCUUAAAAGGAAGGAGACUGAUAACUAAACAAGAAGAAUAAUCAAGUAUGACAGCACAACACUGGUAGAAGAAUGACAAGAAUGAGUGGUUUUAGACAAAGGGUUUGUGAACAGCAUGAAGGAACAAGAGAAAUAGCACUUAGGGAUUUGGGUUUCUAAGUGUUGUCAAUGUUUAACACUUAGAAAGAAAAAAAGAAAGAAAGUUGAAAGUACCAAAAUGGUACAAUUUUGCUGGCAUUUUUUUAAUUAUUAAAACGUAACUUUUGUUUUUUAAAUAAAAUAAUACAUCAAACCAUCAUAAAUUCAUGACAGUAAAUAUUUCUAUCACAAGCUCAUCAUUAAUCUAUGAUAGAUUGAAAAUUCUAUCACGAGUUUGUCGUAAUUUUAUAAUAUAAGCCACUUUGCC